GGAUGACGUCAAGUCCUCAUGGCCCUUACAGGGUGGGCUACACACGUGCUACAAUGGCGACUACAGAGGGUUAAUCCUUAAAAGUCGUCUCAGUUCGGAUUGUCCUCUGCAACUCGAGGGCAUGAAGUUGGAAUCGCUAGUAAUCGCGGAUCAGCAUGCCGCGGUGAAUACGUUCCCGGGCCUUGUACACACCGCCCGUCACACCAUGGGAGUUGGUUCUACCCGAAGGCGCUGCGCUGACCG
rnacentral:rRNA from 1 species